rnacentral:rRNA from 1 species
AUGGACAAAUACUCUAUGGCACUGAAAGAUGUUAUGGAACUUAUUGAGAAGGAGGGGAAUGAUAUGGUCGCCAGCUUUCGGGACAGCAAGAGUCGAACGUUGCUACACCUUGCAGCUCGCAAAGGCAAAGCGGAUAUCUGCUCAUAUCUAAUUAGUGAAGUUGGCAUCGAUGUGAAUGCUGCCUAUGGUAAAGGUCAAACAGCAUUGAAGAUAGCUACAGAUAAAAGUCAUAUGGAAACUGUUGAAUGCCUGCUCAACAACGCGGCCGAUCCAUCUGUCCUGAAUAUUGGGCCAACUAUACUGUGUAUGGCUGCAAAGUUUGGAAGAUUAGGAAUAAUGAAGCUUCUACUUGACAAGGGAGUUAAUGUUGAUGCCAAAGGCUUUGAGGGUACUGCACUUGCGUGUGCUGCUAGGUGCAGACAAAUAUGUGCAGUCAAGUUUCUCAUAGAACACGGUGCUAAGGUGCAGCCAGAACCAGAGUUCAAUUCCGUUCAUGAAGUCACACCUCUAUCUUGUGCUGUCUCCUUCGGUUCAUUCGAGUGUUUUGAUCUUUUAUAG